UACGGGGGGGGCAAGCGUUGUUCGGAAUUACUGGGCGUAAAGGGCUCGUAGGCGGCCAACUAAGUCAGACGUGAAAAUCCCUCGGCUUAACCGGGGAACUGCGUCUGAUACUGGAUGGCUUGAGGUUGGGAGAGGGAUGCGGAAUUCCAGGUGUAGCGGUGAAAUGCGUAGAUAUCUGGAGGAACACCGGUGGCGAAGGCGGCAUCCUGGACCAAUUCUGACGCUGAGGUGCGAAAGCGUGGGGAGCAAACAGG
rnacentral:rRNA from 1 species